AGGAGCAGUAGUAGGAGUAGGAAUAGGACUCCUGCUCCUUGCAGCUCCAUUCACUGGGGGUGCUAGUUUAGCAGCAGUAGUAGCAGCAGUAGCAGGAGGAGUAGGAGCAGGAGGAGUAGGAGCAGGAGGAGGAACAGGAGUAGGAAUAGGACUCCUGGUCCUUGCAGUUCUGUUGAGUGGGGGGGCUAGUUUAGCAGCAGCAGCAGCAGGAGUAGGAGCUGCAGUAGGAGGAGUAGGAGCAGUAGUAGGAAUAGGAAUAGGACUUCUGGUCCUUGCAGCUCCGGUCACUGGGGGGGUUAGUUUAGCAGCAAUAGGAGCAGGAGCAUUAGCAGUAGCAGGAGGAGCAGUAGCAGGAGGAGUAGUAGCAGGAGGAGCAGUAGCAGCAGAAGACGCAGGAGCAGUAGCAGGAGGGAUAGGAGCAGUAGUAGGAAUAGGACUCCUGCUCCUUGCUGCUCAGUUUACUGGGGUUGUUAGUUUAGCAGCAGGAGCAUUAGCAGGAGCAAGAUGAGCUGUGGUUGUAAAUGCAAUAAAAUCAAUGAAAGAGAACGAAAGUAUAAAGAAAGUAGAAGAACUGGGGAAAGACUUCAUGAAGAUCAUAGAACGGCUGAAGAAGGACCUGGAAGAAAUAAAGAGGACGUGUGAGAA